rnacentral:rRNA from 1 species
GACAUGACUCUCGGCAAUGGAUAUCUCGGCUCUCGCAUCGAUGAAGAGCGCAGCGAAAUGCGAUACGUGGUGCGAAUUGCAGAAUCCCGUGAAC